UACGGGGGGGGCAAGCGUUGUCCGGAAUCACUGGGCGUAAAGGGCGCGUAGGCGGCGCGAGUAGUCAACGGUGAAAGCCCGGGGCUCAACCCCGGGUCGGCCGUCGAUACUCUCGUGCUUGAGCACUGUAGAGGCAGGUGGAAUUCCGGGUGUAGCGGUGGAAUGCGUAGAGAUCCGGAAGAACACCGGUGGCGAAGGCGGCCUGCUGGGCAGUAGCUGACGCUGAGGCGCGACAGCGUGGGGAGCAAACAGG
rnacentral:rRNA from 1 species